UAGCACUCUGGGGGAUGGGCAAACCCUAAC
rnacentral:piRNA from 1 species